rnacentral:rRNA from 1 species
GAUGAACGCUGGCGGCGUGCCUAAUACAUACAAGCCGAGCGAACGGACGAGGAGCUUGCUUUUCUGAUGUUAGCGGCGGACGGGUGAGUAACACGUGGAUAACCUACCUAUAAGACUGGGAUAACUUCGGGAAACCGGAGCUAAUACCGGAUAAUAUUUUGAACCGCAUGGUUCAAAAGUGAAAGACGGUCUUGCUGUCACUUAUAGAUGGAUCCGCGCUGCAUUAGCUAGUUGGUAAGGUAACGGCUUACCAAGGCAACGAUGCAUAGCCGACCUGAGAGGGUGAUCGGCCACACUGGAACUGAGACACGGUCCAGACUCCUACGGGAGGCAGCAGUAGGGAAUCUUCCGCAAUGGGCGAAAGCCUGACGGAGCAACGCCGCGUGAGUGAUGAAGGUCUUCGGAUCGUAAAACUCUGUUAUUAGGGAAGAACAUAUGUGUAAGUAACUGUGCACAUCUUGACGGUACCUAAUCAGAAAGCCACGGCUAACUACGUG